rnacentral:tRNA from 1 species
GGAGAUUUAGCUCAGUGGUAGAGCGCUUGCCUAGCAAGCUCAAGGCCCUGGGUUUGGUCCCCAGCUCCG